rnacentral:rRNA from 1 species
UGGGGAAUAUUGGGCAAUGGGCGCAAGCCUGACCCAGCCAUGCCGCGUGAGUGAUGAAGGCCUUCGGGUCGUAAAGCUCUGUGGGGAGGGAAGAAAAACCUUGUGGCUAAUAUCCACGAGGCUUGACGGUACCUCCUUAGCAAGCACCGGCUAACUCCGUGCCAGCAGCCGCGGUAAUACGGAGGGUGCAAACGUUGCUCGGAAUCAUUGGGCGUAAAGCGCACGUAGGCGGCCUGUUAAGUCGGAUGUGAAAGCCCCGGGCUCAACUCGGGAAGUGCAUUCGAAACUGGCAGGCUUGAAUAUGGAAGAGGGUCGCGGAAUUCCCGGUGUAGAGGUGAAAUUCGUAGAUAUCGGGAGGAACACCAGUGGCGAAGGCGGCGACCUGGGCCAAUAUUGACGCUGAGGUGCGAAAGCGUGGGGAGCAAACAGG